rnacentral:rRNA from 1 species
GAGGAAAGAGGGCGGCGUGCCUAAUACAUGCAAGUCGAGCGAACAGACGAGGAGCUUGCUCCUCUGACGUUAGCGGCGGACGGGUGAGUAACACGUGGAUAACCUACCUAUAAGACUGGGAUAACUUCGGGAAACAGGAGCUAAUACCGGAUAAUAUAUUGAACCGCAUGGUUCAAUAGUGAAAGGCGGUUUUGCUGUCACUUAUAGAUGGAUCCGCGCCGCAUUAGCUAGUUGGUAAGGUAACGGCUUACCAAGGCGACGAUGCGUAGCCGACCUGAGAGGGUGAUCGGCCACACUGGAACUGAGACACGGUCCAGACUCCUACGGGAGGCAGCAGUAGGGAAUCUUCCGCAAUGGGCGAAAGCCUGACGGAGCAACGCCGCGUGAGUGAUGAAGGUCUUCGGAUCGUAAAACUCUGUUAUUAGGGAAGAACAAAUGUGUAAGUAACUAUGCACGUCUUGACGGUACCUAAUCAGAAAGCCACGGCUAACUACGUG